GUGCUCUUGUGAUUGUGACUGACACAGGCAGCACCCUUUUGCAGAAGUAGAUGUGCGUUGCUGAGAAAUUUUCUGCCUAAGUUCUGGUUUUCUUUGCAGCACCCAGCAUUUGUUUCUAACACAGGGAAAGAGUGAGCUGGAGAAACCUCUCAAAUUCAAGAAAGCGUAAAGCAAAUUGAACAAUACGGGUGAGGAGCACGGACUAUUCUCUCAUGUUGAAUGUGGCACUUUUUACAUACAAGCAGGAGAGCAACUACACCAAGAUUUUGGAAAACAUGUUAUGUAAGGUUAAUUGUGACCUCUAUGAUGGGGAUAUGAUAAAGAAGAAAAGUACCUCACAGCGAUGAUUGGCAUGUGAUCACUUAGCCAAUGAGAUAAGAGGCUGUAGAAACGAUGUGAUAAUGACAUCUCCUGAGUUGCAGGUCCAUAUUAGAAGUGGAUAUGAAGUAAACAUUGAGCUUUCCUCACAUUUAAUUAACAAGCUUUAUUAUAGAUACAGCUCAAAUUAGUUAAUUCAGGAAGCUUAUUUUGUAGAAAUUAAAACAUUAAUAAACACAUACAUUUAGAAAUAAAGAACUCGGCUGACCCUUUGACUCUUUGAAACAAGUGGCCUUCCAUGCUGUGAAAGAUUGUAGCCACUCUUUGAGACAUUGGAAUGGUGUCCAUUGCAUUUUAUCAAGUUAACUAUAGGUCAGCCUGGGAAAUCUGAAGUUUCCUUAUCUCCUGUCACUGUGGUUGCUGUGAGAUUUUGUGUCAUCACUGUGCUGUCUUCCCUCUCCACAUGAAGGUGAGCUGUCUGGCUUCACUCUAACGUUUGUGAUUUCACGCCCGACCUGAUUGUUGCCAAGCAAUUCCUUUGUUUGGAGAAUUCUGUGCUUUGUUUAGAAUUUUUUAAAGGUUCUUUUCCUGUGGUCAGAUUUCUGUUUGCUACUGUGUCUUAUGCCUUGUUCUCCUACAGAGAAGAUUCUUUGAAGUUAGUGGAAGCUCAGCUUAAAGGAAGAUCUACUGCUCUGUGUGGUGGAUGACCAUGGGGGAGCGAGAAGGCAGCCUCCGGCUUUUGUUUUGUGUGUGUGUGUGUGUGUGUGUGUGUGUGAUGUACCUGGAAAAAUAACACGACUAGGAUUAAAGAGUAUGUUUGGCAUGUUUAAAAUAAAUUGUAAACCAAACGUAUUUUAAAGAAUUUAUACAAAUUUGUCAUUUAGUAAAAUGAAUGACUAUUGAGUAUUCAUGUCAAUAAAACAACCACUUG
rnacentral:lncRNA from 1 species